CAAAUGGAUGUUAAAAGCGCCCUUUUUAAUGGAUUUAUCGAGAAAGAAGCUUUUGUAAAACAUCCUCCAUGCUUUGAGGAUUCAAAAUUUCCAUACCAUGUAUACAAGCUUUCCAAAAAACUAUAUGGGUCGAAACAAGCUUCAUGUGCCUGGUAUAAUAGACAGAGUACUUUUCUUAUUGAUCAUAGCUUUACCAGAGGUAAAAUAGAAACUACUUUAUUUAUUAAACGAUCAUCAAAAGGUAAUCUCAUUAUUCAAAUUUAUGUUGAUGAUAUUAUAUUUGGUAGUUCUAACCCUCUUAUGUGCAAGGAAUUUUCAAAUCUUAUGCAAAGAGAGUUUGAAAUGAGCAUGAUGGGUGAACUCAUGUUCUUCCUUGGGCUACAAAUCCAACAAACCGAAAAAGGAAUUUUUAUUUGUCAGACCAAAUAUACAAAAGAGCUGAUUCAAAAAUUUAGUAUUAACAAUGAAAAAUCAAUUGGAACUCCUAUAAGCCCCGCUUCAAAUCUAGACAAAGACUAACAGGGCACCCUAGUUGAUGAAACCAAAUACAGGGGAAUGACUGGAUCACUACUAUAUCUGACAGCAAGUCAACCAGAUAUUAUGCUCAGCGUAUGUAAAUGUGACAGGUUUUAGUUUGCUCCCAAGGAAUCACAUUUGACUGCUGUAAAGAGAAUUAUUCGAUAUCUCAUUAGAACUGUAUCUCAUGGAUUGUGGUAUCCACGCUCUAACUUUUUUAUAUUAAGAGGUUUUUCAAAUGCUGAUCUCCAGAUGAUAAAAAAUAUAGAAUAGCACAAGCGGCACUUGUCAAUUACUAGAAAAGGCAUUAAUAUCCUGGAACAGUAAAAAGCAAGCAUCAGUCGCCCAGUCUACUACCGAAGCUGAAUAUAUUGCUAUUGGACAUUGUUGUGCACAACUACUAUGGAUGUCUCAUCAAUUGGAUGACUAUGAGCUUUCGUUUAAACCUAUACAAAUUUCUAGUGAUAAUUCUAGUGCGAUUUGUAUUUCAAAAAUCAUGUGCACCAUUCCAGAGAAAUCAUAUAGAUAUUAAGUAUUAUUUUAUUAGAGAUCAUGUUCUUAAAGAAGAUAUAGAAAUAGUCUUUGUUGGCACCUCUGCUCAAUUAGCUGAUAUUUUUACUAAAACUUUGUUAGAAGAAAGAUUUUGUACUUUGAGAAAAUUGCUUAGUAUUAUUUGCUUUUCUAAUAAAUCUUAGGACCUAUGUGCUCAAUUACUUUUAAGUGCUAUAAUUGUCCUUUCUCACGCAUUAAUUACGCCUCCGAUUUUUUCCCUGUCUUUUCACUUUGUUCACAUGAUUCGCAGUCGAAGAUGGAAAGUCAAUCAUCACGUCUUCUCAACUGACAACUUUUCCUUUUCUGUACCCAACCACCAAAACCCUGUUCUUAAGUUAGAAAACCCCCUUAGUCCUCUCAUCUCCAUCUUCUCUCCAAAACCUCGAGAAAAUCCCCUCUUCUACAAUGGCGAAACACCCCAAGAAUCACUCUGCUUCCACCAGAAAAAGUACCCACUCUAAGGCAAAACCCCCUUCUGCGCCUCCUAAGCAAGUAGACCUAGGGUAUGAUCACUCUGAAGGCUUCGCCUCAUCUCAAGGUGAUUUCUCUGAACACUCCUUAGACAAAUGACCCAUGGAAGAUCCUCCCAUUUCAUCGACCCCAAAGAAAUCAAAGGUUGAUUUCUCUGCCUCAUUUGAGUCUGACCUAAACUUCUGGGAUACCCCAAAUAGGGAUCUUUUCAUUACUCUUAAGGACAAUCCCAUCGCCCAUGGAAGGAUCGUGGAUCUUGAUGAUAUGGAAGCUCUCAACUGUAAGGUUAAAGAACUCUUUGUUUAUCAAAGGUAGGAAAAAUUCCUCUCUAUUCCUCCGCCUAAGGUAUAUAAACCCCUGGUCAAAAUGUUUUAUGCAAAUCUUCGCUCCAGUAAACUAGAUAGGCUAGAAUCUCUAGUGCUAGAUAGCGCAUUGUUCUUGAUUGUUCCUUGUUUGACUCUCUUUUCCAAUGUCAUUGCUCUGGUUUCCCUACUCUUUCUAAAAAUGCGUCGCUUGAGAAUUUUGAAAUUUGUUUUGACCAAGCCAAACAAUGCAUUGUUGAAUGUCCCUCUGAAAUUCUUCCAAACCAAUUGGGCCCCAGUGAUGUAAGUUUUGAAACUCGGGUUCUAGCCCAUAUUGUGGCGAGCACCCUGCUUCCCGUACAGGUUCCUUUUCAACCUUCUCUCAAAGGGAUACAUUUUUUGUCUACUACCUCAUCACCAAACUCAAACUCAAGUUGUUCUCCUUGGUCAACAAUUUCAUGAUAGAAAGUGCUGAAGACACCACUAGUUUACCCUACGACAUGGCCAUCACUCAUAUUCUAGAAGCUCAUCAAAUUUCUCUAUCCAACUAUCCCUUCAUUACUGUCUUCAAGUCCUAUAAUUCUAGAGCCUUUGCUAGUAUGCUAUGUGAGUAUCAAUGGCUCCUGGUCAAGAAAAAUGAGAGUGUAGCAAAGCAGGCUUCUUUGGAAACUAAACCUUCAUCAGUUUUUCCUCCUCUUACUCUUGUCAGUUCUGAGCUUAGUGAGAAGCUUAGUUCUAUUGAUUCCAAACUCUCUAACAUCAAGAAUCUCCUUUUCGACACUCAGUCCACUAUAAGUGACAUUCAUGCUACUUCAAAGGAAAUAGGGUCUAACGUGUCAAAAACCAGAGUUGCUGUUCUCAGAGCAAGGGAGAAUGCUGUCAAGGCCUUCAAGGAGGUUCACAAUAGGCUGGAUGGUAUGAGCGUUGCUGCAACAACUAUCUUCGAACAGUUGAAGGAGGCCAUCUGCAACACCCUUUCCUAUUUCCUGCGUUGCUGGUGUGGAUGUUUUUUAAACUAUGUUCUUUUUGACAACUUGUUUUGGUGGUAUUGUGGGUUGUGAUUGAAGCCCUUGGAUAACUUUUUUGCUACUGUGGGCUGUUUCACAGUCGCUGGAUAAUCUCUUCACCUUCUCUACUUUAUUGUUAUAUGUGUUUAUAAUCCCUCUUUAUUGACGGCAAAAAGGGGGAGAAUGACUAUGUAUCUAUAUGUGUAUCAUAUAUUUUCCUAUAUCAUAUGUAUAUGUAUAAGUACAAGUUGACUGGAUGUCUAUAUGUGUAUGUGUAUUGGUCGACUGCACAUAUUAUAUAUGUGUAUUAGUAGCAUAUAUUGUAUAUUAUAUAGGUAUUAGUCAGUACAAGUCGACUACACACAUUGAGGGGGAGAGUCAUGGACAGGUCAAGUCGAAUGCAUACAUUAAGGAGGGGUCAAGCGUACAUACACUGAGGGGGAGUCAAGUCAACUAGUAAAACACAGGGAGGUCGACUGGUCUUUACUUCUUUACCUUAUUACAUCAUUUUGCCAUCAUAAAAAAUGGGGAGACUGUUAACUCAUGUUUUACUGAUACAAAUAAUAUACAUGUGCAAGAAAUCAAGAAGUAAAGAAGAUUAUUGGAAUUGUUCAUGAUGUACAAAGAAAGAAAUCAAUCAGCAUGUGAUCAACAAAUCUUGAUUGCCUUCUGCGCCUCCUAAGCAAGUAGACCUAGGGUAUGAUCACUCUGAAGGCUUCGCCUCAUCUCAAGGUGAUUUCUCUGAACACUCCUUAGACAAAUGACCCAUGGAAGAUCCUCCCAUUUCAUCGACCCCAAAGAAAUCAAAGGUUGAUUUCUCUGCCUCAUUUGAGUGAAUCAUGGGUAGAAUCACGGAAGACUGAAUGAUACGAGGAAAUAUGGGAAGCGAGCACAUUUGGAAGAACCAACAAUCAAGGAGAAAUCAAGUAAAGCAAUCCUCUACUAAAGGAAAGCAAUCUAGAGAAACAACGGCUCAUUCCUUAUUCUUGGAAAGAAUCAAUUCUUUCCAAGGAUAAAAUCUCUUGGGAUGUCAAGCCUCUACCAUCCAUCAAAGUAUUUAUACUCCCUUGUAAACCCUAGUUUAGAUAUACUUCGAUCAAACCAAGCCCCUCUUUUUAUUCUACUGCAAAAAAGCAUUGUAGUUCACUAAGAUCUGUUGUGUAAAAAGCCAGGGAUAGAAAGAGAGACCAAACUUUGUGAGGUUCUACUACAAACAAACAUUGUAGUUCACUAAGAUCUGUUGUGUAAAAAGUCAGAGAUAGAAAGAGAGAACAAAAUUGGUGAGACACUGUAUAAAAAAUGAGUGCUAGAUAAACUGAGCGAUAUAUACCACAUAUGUACUAGGAAGAAACUCAUUUACUAAAGAGAACUCCUUUUCAACCAAAGGGGACUGGAUUAGGAUUCACAUUGAAUCCGAACCAGUAUAAAAAUCUAUGUGUUUUUAAUUCGUGCAAUUAUUCUUUACAUUUUACUUUCAGUUAUCAUAUCUGCUAAAUUAUCAUAUUCAGUCGACUACUCAAGUUAUAAGUCAACUUAUAAGCAAUUAAUUUUAAGUAUUUACAAUUGAACCCCCCUUGUACUUUCAAUUGCUUUUAGAGCAAGGCUCACAUUUUACCUUUUGUUUAAUAGCUUGUGAGAAAAGAUCAUGGAAAAGAUUUACAGUUCACCCCCCUCCCCAUGUACUUUCACCAGGUUCUCCAACAUCAAACCACCUGAUAGGAGAUCUGCACUUACGCCCAUAUAAAGCCUCAUUUAGAGCCAUCUAGAUACUGGAGUGAUAACUGUUAUUAUAUGUAAACUCGAUAAGAGGUAGGAGUUCAUCCCAACUUCUUUUAAAAUCCAGCACACAUGCUCGUAACAUAUCCUCGAGCAUUUGAAAUGUACGCUCGACCUGUCCAUCAGUUUGUGGAUGAAAAGUUGUGCUAAGAUUUGGCUGGGUCCCUAGAUCGUUCUGGAAAUGACCUCCAAAAAUAUGUUGUAAACUUGGUCUCACGGUUAGAUCUAAUAGAUAUUGGUACUACGUGUAGUCACACUAUCUCUUUAGUAUACAACUUUACAUAAUCUUCUACUAUAUAUAUAGAUCUGGCUGGUAGGAAAUGAGCUGAUUUCAUGAGCCUAUCGACUAUCGCCCAUAUGGAAUCAAACUUACAAUGAGAACGAGGUAAACCCAUGAUAAACUCCAUAUUAUAGCCUCUCAUUUCCAUGUCAGGAUCUCUAUAGUCUACACUAGCCCUACGACCUUCUUGUGCUCUAUCUUCACCUUCUGGCAACUAGGACGAUGAGUGACAUACUCAAUAAUGUUAUUCUUCCCUUGAUGUCAUGAUACAUCUUCGUUGACCCAAGAUGAAUGGAAUACCAUGAAUAAUGUGCCUCUGACAUAAUUCUGUCUCAUAGCCCUGCUACAUUUGGAACAUACAAACGACCCAUGUAUCUAAGAACCCCAUCUCCCUUAAGCUAUAACAAUGGCUUCUUAUGCUACGGAACUCGCUCUCUCAACUUGACCAACUCUGGUCUUCACAUUACCUCUCCUUUAAUUCAGUUAUAAGAGGUGGUUUUGCAGUAUUUUGGAGUACGACUCCACCAUUUCCAGGAGUUAAUUGUAUUUUCUCGGCCGCUACAUUCCCUCUCCUUUACUUCAAUUAAUUGUCUUUUCACGGACUUUACCUGAGCUAAGCCACCCAUCGAUCGACGACUUAAGGAAUCUGGUACAGCGUAUGCUUUCUUCGGAUGCCAUGAUACAGAAUGUUGACAUCAUAAUCUUUCAAUAACUCAAGUCGUUGCCUCUGUCGCAAAUUCAACUCUUUUUGCUUGAAAAUAUAUUGCAGGCUUUUAUGAUCUGUGAACACAUCAACAUGAACACCAUAUAAAUAAUGCUGCCAUAUCUUAAGUGCAUGGAUAAUCGCAGCUAAUUCGAGGUCGUGGGUCAGAUAAUUUCACUCAUAGUUCCUUAACUGCCUUGAAAAAUACGCAAUAACUUUCCCAUGUUACAUCUGGACACAACCUAACCCGACAAUUGAGGUAUCACAAUACAUGGCAUAACAAUAUGGACGUCUGAAAGUGCUAGAACUGGCGCUGAGGUCAAUUAUUUUUAGCUCUUUGAAACUCUUCUCACCGGAUUCUGUCCACUAAAACAUAGUUUCUUUCUGCUUCAACUUCGUUAGUGGUGCUGUAAGAGAAGAAAAACCCUCCACGAACCUCCAGUAGUAUCCUGUUAAGCCUAGAAAACUACAAACCUCUAUCGGAGUGGUAGGUCUAGGCUAGGAUUUCACAGCCUUAAUCUUCUGAUUGUUUACCUUUAUACCUCCAUCGGAUACAAUGUGCCCUAAAAAUGCUACAGGCUUCAACCAGAACUUACAAUUAGAAAACUUAGCAAAAAAUUUAUUAUCACCAAGGGUUUGGAGUACCACUCGUAGGUGGUCAAUAUGCUCAUCCUCUGAAUGUGAAUAAACCAGAAUGUUAUCAAUAGAGACUAUCACAAACAGAGCCAAAUAUGGCUAGCAUAGGCUAUUCAUCAAGUCCAUAAAUGUGGCAGGUGCAUUCGUCAACCUGAAGGAAAUGACAAGGAACUUGAAGUGGCCAUAUUGGGUCUUGAAGGUUGUCUUAGGAAUAUCUUUCUCCAAAAAUCUAACUUGGUGGUAUCCCGACCUCAGGUAUAUCUUUGAAAAGCAUCGAGCCCCCUGCAACUGAUCAAACAAGUCAUCGAUCUUUGGAAGUGGAUACUUAUUCUUAAUAGGUACCUUGUUUAGCUACCUAUAAUCGAUACAGAUCCUAAACGAGUCAUCUUUCUUCCGCACAAACAGUACCGGUGCACACUAAGGUGAAGUACAGGACCCGAUGAAACCUUUCUCCAACAAAUCUUUUAACUGCUCCUUCAACUCCUUCAAUUCGGUAGGCGUAAUUCUAUACGAAGUGAUGGAUAUUGGUUGAGUUUUCCCAGAAGCAAAUCGUUGCCAAAAUUAAUCUCUCGCUUUGGAGGAAUACAUGGAAGUUCAUCUGGAAAUACAUCUGCAUACUCUUUUACUACUGGAAUAGACCAAAGUGUAGGUAUCUUCGCAUAUGUAUCCCCAACUCACACAAUAUGAUAAAUGCAAUGAUCAUCUUCCUCGCCUUCAGAUAGGAGAUAAACCUACCUAUGGAUGUCACUAUAUUACCUACCCAUUCAAGGACUGGCUUACCCGAAAAAUGAAAUCUAGCUAUCUUUUCUCGACAAUCAACGGUGGCAUAGAAAGGUGACAACUAGUCCAUGAACAUGAUAGCAUCAAAAUCCAACAUCUUCAGCUUAACUAGGUCGGCUGAGGUCUGACGACCACAAACUGACACCGUACAACUUCAGUAAACACAUCUAGCCAUAAUUGGUUCUUCGACCGGUGUAGAUACCGCAAAAGGAUUACUUAGUAUUUCAGGCACAAUACAAAAUUUCCUUGCAACAUAUGGGGUAAUACAUGAUAAAGUAGAUCUUGGGUCUAUCAAGCAUAAACAUAGUGAGAGAAAAUGGUAAACAUACCGGUCACAUUGUCUAGAGAGGACACUUGCUCCUGUUGACCCGCUAGUGUGUAGCUACGAUUCUAGUUACCACAUGAGCUGGAACCUCUACAUCUGUCGUGGCCUCUACCAACCAAAGACUGAGACUCGCGCCCUGAAGGAUGCACAAGCUGGCACUAGCCCUGGGCAUGGAUUCUUCUUUGAUUGAAGGAACGGGACAGAAGAGAACCAGAACCAUAUCCUUCACACAUUCAGUCUGAUCUUAUCUGCGCUAUUGCCCGAUCAUAGCUGUACUGUAUUAGAUUAGUUAUCCGUCUCCCCUGCCCUGUUAGAACAGUCUGGUCUGUAAAAACACAGGGGCGACAUCCUCCUAUAAUAGUUAGCAGUACUGAACAAGCGAGUCAUCGGUCCGAGGAAAGAAAAGGACCGCCUUUGAAAAAAAAAAAAGGAACUCGCUAGGCCUUCAGAACAAAGGCGAUUCUGUUCAUGCUUCAGACGAUCUGGCUAAUUCUAUAUACAACUAUCUAAUUUUCUUCUAUUAUAUAUAAAGGCGUAAGGGCGAAGGCCUAUUUAGCGCCUUGGAAAAGGUAACCGGUUAGGUUGACUUUGGAAAGGCUACUAAGGACCGGGUGAAGAAUGAAAAACGUCCGCUAAAGCCCACGGGAUAAGGUUUGCAGAUGCGAUCAUGAAUCGAACCAGAUCGAAACAUUCAGCUGUCGACGGUUUUGAAAAAAAAAGGACCAGGAGCUAGUUUGGGGUAUCACGGGGCCUUACUUAUUCAAGGGGGACUUGAUUCUGAAAUGGAAUGAUUGAUAGAAAUUUCAUGGCUUCAAUUCCGCCCCUAAAGCUAGCUCCUACUCCUCCUCCUUCUCCUUUAGGAUAGGAUCCUCCUUGGUCCUUUUUACAUAAUACUCUCGGCCGCCCAUCAUCUACCUUUGUCUCAAUCAUGGGCGAUUGAAGCUAAUACAAUAAAAGAAUGCAAGGAAGGGUUCCCCCAGCAAAGGCAUCUCGACUGCUUCCAAAAUCGGGUCAUCGACCAGUAAUGCGACUUGUAGAAGACUCCCUACCUAUACCUAGCGGAGUUGGCACUAAACUAAUAAGGAGAGCAGAAAGCAGCUAGCCGCCAUCAGGAGAUCCACGACUUUAAGAUUAAGAUCCGCUUAUUCUUUGAGAUGACAAAGCUCCCCACUAGACGCAAAUUGCCGAAUCAACACCAGGCAGUAUAGGAGUCCUUUCUUUGAUCGGCCUUCCCCAGACCAGAACUGAAAGGACAUACCAGCCCCCUCAGGAUUAUUGGGCAUUCCUUCAUGUCGGGAGGAGGUAGCGGUUGGAGGAGAAGAUA
rnacentral:lncRNA from 1 species